AUCGUUCAUCUCAUUUGCUGAAUGAGACGGAAGUAGGUUAGAGGACCGAAGGAACGCAGU
rnacentral:ncRNA from 10 species